rnacentral:lncRNA from 1 species
AAGCCGGAACCGGACAGUGAGAGUGUGAAAACGAGUGUACAGCCGCCAGCUUCGCCAGAUUCUGAUGAGAUCGGGCUGUUGAACGUGAGACCUCCGCCUUCGCCGGUUUCCGUCACGCAAAAAUGGCCUAGCACUAGGUCUACUUCACCUAAUGCUAGUGCGUGACAGUUUUCUUUUUUUGUGUGUUACUUUUCAGUAUAAAGAAUAUAUAUGAAUGCAUUUUAGAUUUGAUUAGGUGGGUAAAAGGGCGAACUCAAGCCAAUAACGCUUCCCGUUUUGCAAGGGUCAAGAGGGGAUAACAUCUAUCGUACAUAACUUUAACUUUCUCUUGUAAAGAUGUUGUUUCUACGACUCGAACUCGUGACAUUUCGGUCAUAAAAGAACAACAUUUCCGUUGUACAAGAGUCGCCAUCAUUGAAAAACACAUCUAAUUAGUACUUCUAGGUAAAAGCUUGAGGGAUUUCACCUAGUGCUAGUGCGUGACAGUUUUCUUUUUUGUGUGUUACUUUUCAGUAUAAAGAAUAUAUAUAUGAAUGCAUUUCAGAUUUGAUUAGGUGGGUAAAAGGGCGAACUCAAGUCAAUAAUGCUCCCCGCUUUGCAAGGGUCAAGAGAGGAUAACAUCUAUCGUACGUAACUUUAACAUUCUCUUGUAAAGAUGUUGUUUCUACGACUCGAACUCAUGACAUUUCGAUCACAAAAGAACAACAUUUCCGUUGUACCAAGACUCGCCAUCAUUGAAAAACACAUCUAAUUAGUACUUCUAGGUAAAAGCUUGAGGGAUUUGUACAUAUUAGAUGGAGACAUUGUUAUUAAUAUUCAUAUUUUAUAUGUAUAAUUUUGAUCCUGUAUCGUUUUGACUCUUCAUACUUGCGUUGAAGUCUAUGUCUUUUUCCUUUCUGCUUCUUCUGAUAUUGUUUAUUAACCAAGUUUUGAUUGUUUGACAUG